UUAGUAUAUGAAUUAUUUUAAGCCUAAAAAUUUAGAAUUUAGUCCAAAGAUUCUUUCAUUAUUUUAAAUGAAUUGGUAGCCUCUACCUUCAAUCUAAAAAAUUACUUUAAUUUCUUAGCGGAUACUAAAAUCCACACAGACUGCAUUCAGGUCCGAGUGUGGCUCGAUCAACCCUAAUGUAUCCAUAGGUGGGAUCAUAAUUAAUUAUUUUUUUAAAUAACUUUUAGCAAUCAAAUUUUACCCCAGGCAUCCCUUCGGCAGGCAUGUGAUGCCUCCACUGAAAAUUCUGGUUAGGUCCAACCAUUAACAUGACAACAUCAAGUGCAUACAACAAACAGAUGUCUAGACCUAAAUAUGGCUCGAUCAAUCUAAGCAUUGAUCUAAAGAUACAACAAGAUGAUCAUAUGAUGAAUGAUAAUUCCAAUACGUAAUAGACACCAGACGUGUG
rnacentral:lncRNA from 1 species